AAAAGGGGCUUCUGUCAUGUGAGUGAAACAAAUAGAAUAGGGCACCUCAGUUGCUUUUCAUGUGGAAUUGUCAUCAAGAGAUUUUGGGGGCAUAAUAUUUGUUUUCAAGGUAGCUGGUGAUUGUUGGUUAUAGCACCCUU